UACGUAGGUGGCAAGCGUUGUCCGGAUUUAUUGGGCUUAAAGGGUGCGUAGGCGGCCUUUUAAGUCAGUGCUGAAAUACUCUAGCUUAACUAGAGGGGUGGCAUUGAUACUGAAAGGCUUGAGUGGAGUCGAGGUAGGCGGAAUUGACGGUGUAGCGGUGAAAUGCUUAGAUAUCGUCAAGAACACCGAUAGUGAAGACAGCUUACUAGACUUCAACUGACGCUGAGGCACGAAAGUGUGGGGAGCAAACAGG
rnacentral:rRNA from 1 species